UCUGGCGGCUGUAGCGCGGUGGUCCCACCUGACCCCAUGCCGAACUCAGAAGUGAAACGCCGUAGCGCCGAUGGUAGUGUGGGGUCUCCCAUGCGAGAGUAGGGAACUGCCAGAC
rnacentral:rRNA from 1 species